rnacentral:rRNA from 1 species
UACGUAGGGGGCAAGCGUUGUCCGGAAUUAUUGGGCGUAAAGAGCGCGUAGGCGGUCCGAUAAGUCGGCUGUGAAAGUCCAGGGCUCAACCCUGGAAAGCCGGCCGAUACUGUCGGACUAGAGUCCGGAAGAGGCAAGUGGAAUUCCCGGUGUAGCGGUGAAAUGCGCAGAUAUCGGAGGAACACCAAUGGCGAAGGCAGCUUGCUGGACGGUACUGACGCUGAGCGCGAAGCGUGGAGCGAACAG